rnacentral:rRNA from 1 species
CCUUAGUAACGGCGAGUGAAGCGGUAACAGCUCAAAUUUGAAAUCUGGGUCUUUUAGGCUCCGAGUUGUAAUUUGUAGAAGAUGCUUUGGGUGCGGCCCCGGUCUAAGUUCCUUGGAACAGGACGUCAUAGAGGGUGAGAAUCCCGUAUGUGAUCGGUGGCUUGCGCCCGUGUAAAGCUCUUUCGACGAGUCGGGUUGUUUGGGAAUGCAGCUCUAAAUGGGUGGUAAAUUUCAUCUAAAGCUAAAUAUUGGCCAGAGACCGAUAGCGCACAAGUAGAGUGAUCGAAAGAUGAAAAGCACUUUGGAAAGAGAGUUAAACAGUACGUGAAAUUGUUGAAAGGGAAGCGCUUGCAACCAGACUUGCGCGGGGUUGAUCAUCCGGGGUUCUCCCCGGUGCACUCGGCCUCGCUCAGGCCAGCAUCGGUUUUGGUGGUUGGAUAAAGGCCUUGGGAAUGUGACUUCUUUCGGGGAGUGUUAUAGCCCUCGGUGCAAUGCAGCCUACCGGGACCGAGGACCGCGCUUCGGCUAGGAUGCUGGCGUAAUGGUUGUAAGCGACCCGUCUUGAAACACGGACCAAGGAGUCUAACAUCUAUGCGAGUGUUUGGGUGUCAAACCCAUACGCGUAAUGAAAGUGAACGGAGGUGAGAACCCUUAAGGGUGCAUCAUCGACCGAUCCUGAUGUCUUCGGAUGGAUUUGAGUAAGAGCAUAGCUGUUGGGACCCGAAAGAUGGUGAACUAUGCCUGAAUAGGGUGAAGCCAGAGGAAACUCUGGUGGAGGCUCGCAGCGGUUCUGACGUGCAAAUCGAUCGUCAAAUUUGGGCAUAGGGGCGAAAGACU